rnacentral:lncRNA from 1 species
CUACGACUCCGCGCUCGCCCUCACGCAGCGCCCGCGCGGAGGCGGGGAGGGGGCGUGGCUGGCCCUUCUAGGCCUCGGCAGCCAAUGAGCGUGCCGCGUGCCUUCCGGUCGGCGAGCCGGCCAAUCCGCGCUGGGCGCUGUCAUCUUCGGCUCCGCUCGGCUCUUUUCGCUGCUGCGGGAGCCUGGGGGCCGCGGCCGCUCGGGAGACGCUUUCCUUUCUAAUUUUUUUUCCAUGUGUUCACUUCCGGGUCCGGCGCCGAUCCGGAUGCCCGAGGCAGAAGGAUGUUUGACCUCCGGAUAAGCGAGGCGCCGCCGUGCAUUCAUUCCCGGCCGCAUCGGUGGCGGCAGCAGCGACCCGGGCGGCGACUCUCCGGCCAGAGGCGGCGGUAGGAGGCCCCGGCAGGCGUGCGGGGAGCGCGUCGGCGCCGAGCUGCGUUCCCUCCCUCGCUCGCUGCUUCCCCCCUGCCUCGCUCGCCCGCCCGCUCCCUCCCUGCGUGGCUCGCUUUCCUCCUCCGGUCGCCGGCGGCUGGGAUGUGCCGCCGCCGCCGCCGCUGACGGACGGAGCAGGGGCGCCGCCCGCGCCCGGGACCGACCCCCAGCUCGCGGCCGCGCCUCCGAGUAUCUACAGUGGACUGCUGAUGAGCAAACCUCAUCACCUCUGUGAGAGAUUCCUGUUGACUCACUCCUUUUUACUUGGCCUGGGCUGAGGAGAGAGAGCCUUUUGACCCUCUACAAUGGUAAGGCUGUCAGGCUUAUCACUAACCAGUCCUCGGCCUGUCAUGUUUGAACAUAGUGGUAGGUGGCUGCUCAGCUGAUGGUCAUGCUGAACCACUGUGGUUAUCUCCUCAAAACCCAGGAGAAGCAUCCAGGCCUUAAUUAUCUUGGGUGCUCUUCAGAAUGAAGGAGACAUGAUACUGCUUUAUCAUCCUUUGAGUCAUGGGUGACAACUCCAAGGCAACAAAGCCCCCAUUCAACAUCCUGUUACCUGUUACACUUGAUAGAAUCUGCCUGGAAAUGUACAUAUUUUUGCAAAUGAAAAGUUUUAUGUUGGCAGCAAAAACACACACAAUCAUUUAGGAAGGACAGUUUAGUGAUUUAUGCAACUGCCAAGGGAUAUCAGCUUUGUUAUACCACUUGUAAAAUGAUAUGACUAAGCACGCUAGCUUCUGGCUGUCGGGGAUGCUUGUGUUAUCACUCAGAGAUGUGGGUGAGGAGUGGAGGGAGCCUUCUGUCUUCUCUGAAUCCAGGCCAUAUGUUUAGAGCCUUUCUUGGAAUUCAAUUGGUUGGGGGCAAGGGGAGUGAUGAGUAAUUAUUGUCUGUUGUUAUAAUUUCUGGUUGUUAAUGGUGGCUGUAACACAGAAAGGCAGGAGAUAGUUUCAUACCCUUCAGGUGUACUUGCAGUAUCAUCAUUAACCAGAACCCUUGUGCCAGAGAUGUCUUAUAGUAUAAAAGACUGUGUUACUGUUUGGUGGGGUCAGACUUCUGUGGGCCCAAACACCCAGAAGCCUGGGAAAUUUCUCUUCCAGACAGCUGAGUAGGCUGGUACCACUUCUUCCUCCACCAUGGGCUUCAGUGCUUCAAAAGGAAGCUUUUUAGAGGGGGAAGAAAUUGACACACAUGAGACAUUGCAUAAGAGGUGAAUCAAAGUUCUGAGGUGUCAUAUGUUGUCUAAAUGACGCAGUGUUACAGUGGUAGGGCUUUCAUUCUCAGCACAUACCAUCCGUUCUUUUACCCCUAAAAUGAAGCCCUCUCAGCGUCUGGGUGGCUCAGUCAGCUAAGUGUCCGAAUCUUGAUCUCAGGUCAGGUCUUGAUCUCAGGGUUGUGAGUCUGGGCCCUGUGUUGGGCUCCAUGCUGGGCAUGCAGUCUACUUAAAAAAUAAAUAAAAUGAAGUCCUUUUAUUUAAAAAAAAU